UAGAGGAGUUGGCGAGCGCAGAGGUUAAUAACCUAGCGCGGCGUUUCUGGUGGCCAGGCAUCCCGGUCCUCGCGCGUGGCGCAGCCUCCCAGCGCCGGACCGACCCAUGUCGCGCCCGCAUUGGGUCCCGGGACCCCGGCGGGAGUGCCGCGUCCGUCCUUUCCAGUCGCCGGGAGUCUGAGUCGCGGGCCACGCGGGAGUGGCGGUGGAGAGCCCGCCGGUCGUUAUGAGGACGGAUCUAAAAUGACCAGCAAACGGAAACCUUGCCAAACGCAGCUCAGGAGAUCCAUCAGUGAGCAGUUGCGGGACUCCACGGCCAGAGCCUGGGAUCUGCUGUGGAAGAACGUCCGGGAGAGGCGGCUGGCAGGACUAUCUCUUGAGCUGGGCAGUGACCACCACAUGGGGCAGAAGAAAGUUCUAGAGAAGAAGGUCUGAUGCCUAGAAAGAAGGAAAGGACACCACUGGUGAAGCGGGAGAUUUAACCUUCUUUGAACUCCUCCCUUUUUUCCUUACUUGAACUGUAAAGCAAGUGGUUUGCUAGGUGUUCUGCCCUUAAACCCAUGCACCCACAUCCUCAUCAGCCUGAAAGCAUUCUGGGGAAGAUGCCCAGAAUCUAUAGCACCUUGAGAGAAGGUCACUAGCAAGCUAAAUUAGAAGUGGAGAUUAUGGAUGAUUCCAACACUCAAUGUUGUAAGCAUACAAUGUUCAUUCCACAUUUUCUCUCCAACACAGGAAAUACAAGAAUGGAUGCCUUCUCUUACUUCUCUUGCAAAUCAGUGCCUAGCAAACUUCUAAAAGGUGAAUUGUUGAUAGAUUAUAUGACUUAUUUUUCUUCAAGCUUUUUAAUAUGACAAGGGAAUUCCAGCCAGUAUUUUUACCUCUUCUUUCUUUUCAGAGUCAUGAAGUAUUAGAGCACAUGGAUGUCUUAUAGAUGAUCUUGUCCAAGUCAUUCAUUUUAGAAGAGCUGAUGGAACUUCAGAGAGGUUAAAUUCACCUGUUGCAGGUCACCUAUCUCCUUAGUGACAAGUUUGAGAUUACAGCCCAACUUCAAGUCACACUGACUCUUGUGAUUAUAAGUGAAAUCAUACUUGGCCACUCAUUCCUGAGCAAGAUGCCUGUUUCUGAAAUUAGUCUCUAGAGUACCAACUUUUCAGGAGAAAAGAUGGUACCUUACUUACCUUCAAGAGCAAAGCCUUUCCCAUGUUUCAUAAGUGUUUCUUGGCAGCCUAACUGACUCAGUGACUGAUUAAAGGAAAGACUGAAGGACAUGAAAGGCAUUGACUUGCUCCCUCCUAAGUGAGUUCCUCCUCAGUUUACCUCUGAUGACCCCAAACCCCACCUGUCCUGCCAUGAUCCCAACCUCAGGUGUUUGGUGCACCUGUCAGCUUUGUAGACUUGUGCCAGAUAAACUCCUACCCUCCAGCCUCCUUCUAAGGUGCAAUUGGAAAUUUUCAUUUUACAGCUAAAGGAACCUAAUACUGCUGUUGUUAUUGCAUGUUGGAGGGAGGAGGGAAAUGGAGAAGGCAUAAAAUUAUUUUCUGACUCCAGGAUGACAAAAAUAUGUGAAUCCAUUUUCUUUUCUCUCUCAUGAGCAUCACAAGCCCGUUUAUUUUUAUAUCCAUUCUGUCUAAAUUACUUUGCUCUACAACUUUAUAGCAUAAUCAUGAGAGCCUCUUUUCUUGCAUGGAUGUUGCAAAGAGCAUGAAGUCCUCCAUGGCUUUUAAAGAAGGCUUUUGUUGAAUUAGCAGAACCUACCAGAGCUCCUGGAAAUUCUGGGUUUCCGGUCUCUGGGGGCGUCUUCACUCCAAGCCUCGGUGCCCUUACUUGGAUUUGCAAGUUUAGAGUUAAAGUAAGUGUCAGAAAUACGUGUGGUGAUUACAGACACUUUGUAGCCAAUAAUUUCCAUAGUGGAACUGAUAUCACUUCUUGACCUAUUUUUUCAGAGGACUUUUGCGCAAUAGUUACUUUAGAAGCACCCUCUUGAAAAGAAAUCUGAAAUGGACGUAAAAGGCUAUAUUUAUUUGUUCAUAGCAUUUCUUGAUGACCUGCUUUAUGCAAGAUUUCAAAGAGCUCACAGCUAUUAAUGACUACUUAAAACUCUUAAUAUCCAAAAUAUAUAAGGAACUCAUACAAAUCAAUACCAAAAAUACAAACAACUGGAUUAAAAAAUGGGCAAGGGACCAAAAUAGACACUUCUUAGAAAAGGAAAUUCAGAAUGCCAAUAAACAUGUGAAAAGGUGCUCCACAUCUGUAAUUAUCAGGUAAAUGCAGGUCAAAACCAUAAUGAGAUAUCACUUCAUACCUUUUAGGGUGACUAUUGUAAAAAAGAUAAAAGAUAGCAAAUGUCGGCAAAGAUGUGGAGAAAGUAGAACCCUUGUUCACUGUUGUUAGGAAUAUACCUGGCUAGAGCUUUUAUAUUAAGAAAAUGUAUUGAGUUAUUGGAAUUUAGUGUCAUGCCUUGUACACAUCCAGUGUUUCUCAUUAAAUCUGAAUUGCUAAUCUGAGGUCAGUAUUAAGUCCACAGAAAGUUGUGCUUGUUAGAGAAUCACAGAAUAAUGUAGUUUAUGAGAGAGCCUACUAAGAGGCAAAGUGCC
rnacentral:lncRNA from 1 species